AAAUCCAUCUUCAGAGAUGUCAAUCAGCUGAUAGUCCACACGAUUAACAUGUGGAACAUCACAAUUAUGGGAGGAUGGCACAAUAUCCUCAAGUUUCUUUGCAGUGAAGAUAUCUAUGGCCACAAAGUGACAUUUUGCAUGGCCAUGCUUCCCAGUCUUGGAGGUAGAAACUUCCACAACCUUGCAAGGGCGGCCCUUGAUGACGAUGUGACCGUUCUUGCGGAUCGUCCCGGCCUGCUGCGGGUAAGUCUUGGAGGCGCCGGCAUCGGCCUUGGAUUCGAAG
rnacentral:misc_RNA from 1 species